GGAGGACAGCAGCAGUAAGCAUCCUCUGAAGCCUUGAAAUUUUAAGUCUAUCUUUGUUAGGCGACACUAGUCUGUUGCUGGGAUUUUCUUCAAGAUGACCAGCAGCCACAUUGCUAAUUGAUGUAUGUGGUUCACAGAUCAAACACUAGUGACCCAUAAGCUCACAACAACUUACAGCCCUUCUGGGCCGCUUGCCUUCGGGCACUUCUCGGUUCGUUCAUGUCAUUGUUGGCCCCUGUGAGUGUCACAUAUAGAGGGUUUUCUGAUAUGUGUGACUGCAGAUAUAUAUUCCCUUUGUGUGUAUGCCCGGCGACGUAAAUUCUCUCAAUCUAGCUCAGUGCCGCUCUGCAUUGCUGCAGCUCUUCUCUGCCACAAAAUUUCGGGAAUAUAAUCCUCACCUUAGCUAUCUGGAGACCCGUGGGCUUUUUGCAGAUCCUAUUCUUUGGCCAGCAAAACCCGUUUUUUCUCCAUAUGCUAUGACCCAUGACCACUACUCUCAAGUUCGUUUUGAAAAUACCAAGUAUUUGGUUCACCGUGUGUCCCUUCGGCUCGCCCUUGGGCGUGAGGUAGGUUUAGACUGCUCUCAUAUAAUGCACCUGGGCCAUGCUACUGGGAGGUGAAUGGCAUUCCUUGAAUCUCUGAUUGUCUUUUUCUGCAAUGCUGAUGUCAGCGUCAGAAAUAUCAAUCCUCUACAUAUUGUGGAGGAGACAAAUAUCAUAAAUCAGUCCCGAAAGGCGUGCGCGAUGUUCAUUGAGAGAUGGGAGUGGUUGUGGGAGCUGGGAGCCGUGGGCCACCAUGCGUGGUCUGACAAUGAUGGUUACCGGGCGUGUCUUGACCGGCUUUUGGGUGUCUGUGGAUUUAUUCACAGCUCUCAUUGCAUGUGUUGGGACCCUGCCUGGGGCUCAAAAGACUUCUUGUAUAACUUGACUUAGCUUUUUUGCUAUGAAAAAAGUUGAGAUACAUGAAGGGCUUACAUGAUUCGAGAAUGAUGCCAUAUAUCUAGGUAUGGUGGGGUUCGAGCUCUGAUACUGAGCUCGGUAAUAGGUGUUCCCGAUCUGAUUGAAGAAGUUGUUGUGGGCUAUCUGUGGGUUAAAAUAUGACCGGCCCCAUCUAGAGAUAGGUGGUGUUCAUGUGUUCCGUAGGUGAACCUGCGGAAGGAUCAUUACAGAGUUAGGGUCCUCCGGGCCCAACCUCCAACCCCAUGUUUAUCCAUCUUCGUUGCUUUGGCGGGCCCGUUUGAGGCGACUCACCGGUGGCCUCGGCUGCCGAGCGCCCGUCAGAGACCCAUGAAACUCGGUUAAUUGUGAUGUCUGAGUACCAAUACAAUAGUUAAAACUUUCAACAACGGAUCUCUUGGUUCUGGCAUCGAUGAAGAACGCAGCGAAAUGCGAUAAGUAAUGUGAAUUGCAGAAUUCAGUGAAUCAUCGAAUCUUUGAACGCACAUUGCGCCCUUUGGUAUUCCGGAGGGCAUGCCUGUUCGAGCGUCAUUGCACCACUCAAGCUUGGCUUGGUAUUGGGUCCUCGUCCCCCUGGACGUGCCCGGAAAUCAGCGGCGACGCAGCCCGGCUUCAAGCAGCAUCAGUUUAUCUUUCGCUUUGGAAGCUCAGGGUUGGGUCUGCCGGACAACCCCCGUUUUUCUCAGGUUGACCUCGGAUCAGGUAGGGAUACCCGCUGAACUUAAGCAUAUCAAUAAGCGGAGGAAAAGAAACCAACAGGGAUUGCCUCAGUAACGGCGAGUGAAGCGGCAACAGCUCAAAUUUGAAAUCUGGCCCUUUCAGGGUCCGAGUUGUAAUUUGUAGAGGAUGCUUCGGGUACGGCUCCGGUCUAAGUUCCUUGGAACAGGACGUCGCAGAGGGUGAGAAUCCCGUACGUGACCGGCCUCCACGCCCGUGUGAAGCUCCUUCGACGAGUCGAGUUGUUUGGGAAUGCAGCUCAAAAUGGGUGGUAAAUUUCAUCUAAAGCUAAAUAUUGGCCAGAGACCGAUAGCGCACAAGUAGAGUGAUCGAAAGAUGAAAAGCACUUUGGAAAGAGAGUCAAACAGUACGUGAAAUUGUUGAAAGGGAAGCGCUUGCAACCAGACUUGCCCGCGGGCGAUCAACCGGUAUUCUUACCGGUGCACUCGCCCGUGGUCAGGCCAGCAUCGGUUUGGGCGGCUGGAUAAAGUUCACCGGAACGUAGCUCCUCUCGGGGAGUGUUAUAGCCGGAGGUGCAAUGCAGCCCGCCUGGACCGAGGACCGCGCUCGGCUAG
rnacentral:sRNA from 1 species